rnacentral:tRNA from 1 species
UGGCCGAGUGGUCUAAGGCGACGGCUUUAGGCGCCGUUCUCGAGAGAGACGCGGGUUCGAAUCCCGUCGAC